UACGUAGGGUGCAAGCGUUAAUCGGAAUUACUGGGCGUAAAGCGUGCGCAGGCGGUUGUGCAAGACAGAUGUGAAAUCCCCGGGCUUAACCUGGGAAUGGCAUUUGUGACUGCACGGCUAGAGUGUGUCAGAGGGGGGUAGAAUUCCACGUGUAGCAGUGAAAUGCGUAGAUAUGUGGAGGAAUACCGAUGGCGAAGGCAGCCCCCUGGGCUAACACUGACGCUCAUGCACGAAAGCGUGGGGAGCAAACAGG
rnacentral:rRNA from 1 species